CCUACGGGGGGCAGCAGUCGAGAAUCUUCGGCAAUGAGCGCAAGCUUGACCGAGCGACGCCGCGUGCGGGAUGAAGGCCUUCGGGUUGUAAACCGCUGUCGUAGGGGAGCAAGAAAUGAGGGUUCUCCCUCAAAUUUGAGCGAUCCUAGGAGGAAGGACGGGCUAAGUUCGUGCCAGCAGCCGCGGUAAGACGAACCGUCCAAACGUUAUUCGGUAUCACUGGGCUUAAAGAGUUCCUAGGCGGCUCCGUGAAAUCCCUCGGCUUAACCGAGGAAUUGCGCUUCAAACCGUGGAGCUAGAGGUAGACAGGGGUAAGCGGAACAGAUGGUGGAGCGGUGAAAUGCGUUGAUAUCAUCUGGAACACCGGUGGCGAAAGCGGCUUACUGGGUCUUUACUGACGCUGAGGAACGAAAGCUAGGGUAGCGAACGGGAUUAGAUACCCGAGUAGUC
rnacentral:rRNA from 1 species